rnacentral:tRNA from 1 species
UUUAUUAUGGCAGACUAGUGCUAUGAACUUAAGAUUCAUGUAUGAAAUUAUUUUCUUUUAAAA